rnacentral:rRNA from 1 species
CGGGAGGCAGCAGUGAGGAAUAUUGGUCAAUGGACGAGAGUCUGAACCAGCCAAGUAGCGUGAAGGAUGACUGCCCUAUGGGUUGUAAACUUCUUUUAUAUGGGAAUAAAGUGGUCCACGUGUGGAUUUUUGUAUGUACCAUAUGAAUAAGGAUCGGCUAACUCCGUGCCAGCAGCCGCGGUAAUACGGAGGAUCCGAGCGUUAUCCGGAUUUAUUGGGUUUAAAGGGAGCGUAGGUGGACAGUUAAGUCAGUUGUGAAAGUUUGCGGCUCAACCGUAAAAUUGCAGUUGAUACUGGCUGUCUUGAGUACAGUAGAGGUGGGCGGAAUUCGUGGUGUAGCGGUGAAAUGCUUAGAUAUCACGAAGAACUCCGAUUGCGAAGGCAGCUCACUGGACUGCAACUGACACUGAUGCUCGAAAGUGUGGGUAUCAAACAGGAUUAGAUACCCUGGUAGUCCACACAGUAAACGAUGAAUACUCGCUGUUUGCGAUAUACAGUAAGCGGCCAAGCGAAAGCAUUAAGUAUCCCACCUGG